rnacentral:rRNA from 1 species
CGUCAGCUCGUGUCUUGAGAUGUUGGGUUAAGUCCCGCAACGAGCGCAACCCCUGUGGUUAGUUGCCAGCAAGUAGCGUUGGGCACUCUAGCCAGACUGCCGGUGAUAAAUCGGAGGAAGGUGGGGACGACGUCAAAUCAUCAUGCCCUUUAUGUCCUGGGCUACACACGUACUACAAUGGCCGUUACAACGGGAAGCGAAGGAGCAAUCCGGAGCAAAUCCCUUAAAGGCGGUCCCAGUUCGGAUUGCAGGCUGCAAUUCGCCUGCAUGAAGUCGGAAUCGCUAGUAAUCGCAGGUCAGCAUACUCGCGGUCGAGUACGUUCCGGGCCUU